GUCUAGCGUGGCACAAGUAGGCGUGUCGACGGCGACUCGGACAAGACCAUGUCCACACAUGAGCAGUCCCGCGAACUCCUUGCCUCUCGCAAUCAACCACCGAAGAGGCCAUCCUUCUUAGUCCUGUGCUCAUUCGUAUCUUUAGGCCAUCCUUUUUAGUCAUGUGCAUUGCGUGUGCCAUCUACCCAGCUCUGCAGGAAGUCAACGUACCCUAUGUGCCAGUUCGCCUCACCACCUCGAGCGGGAGGCACAACCACAAUGUGGUCAUCGCGCGCACCUUAACGACACAACCCUUGGGCCCCGUGCUAGCUGGGCUCCUGAAGUAUCACAAGCUCUCGCGAAUGCAGCAGGCUUCAGGGACUUCGGCCCUCGGCCUAGACCUUGGUAGGUCAUUAAGCCACCCUCAUCGAGACAACGGUCGAUCCGCCGAUAGGCCCCYUCCGCUCCCUGCGGGCGGUUGGGCGCCUUGACAGCACCGGCAUCGCAAA
rnacentral:misc_RNA from 1 species